UACGGAGGGGGCAAGCGUUGUUCGGAAUCAUUGGGCGUAAAGGCGCGUAGGCGGCCUGUCAAGUCGGGUGUGAAAUCCCUCGGCUCAACCGAGGAACCGUACUCGAUACUGUCGGGCUGGAGUCCGGGAGGGGAUGGUGGAAUUCCCAGUGUAGAGGUGAAAUCGUAGAUAUUGGGAAGAACACCGAUGGCGAAGGCAGCCAUCUGGACCGACACUGACGCUGAGGCGCGAAAGCGUGGGGGAGCAAACAGG
rnacentral:rRNA from 1 species